CGACGGUUCAGGGGCGGAGCGGGGGAGAACGGAGAAGGCAUAUAAAAAUGCGAAGGCCUUCUUCUUCCUCUCCCUCCUCACCUGGCAUCCAGAGAGGAAGGGAAGGGAGGAACUCGGGGGCACACAGCACAGGGGGUCGUCCGGAAUUUCCUCUGCUUCCGCUUACCACCGAAACCUCUGUCUUGAAGGAAGAAUCCGUUCCUCUGCUUGAUCUGUAUUCUUAUAGUGGAGAAGAGAAGCCGAGGACGAUUAAUAGAGCUGGAAGGUGAAUUGACGCUUAGUAUUUGAAGCUCGUCGCCAAAUGGAGAAAGAGGCGAGGAACCACUACCGCACGCGGGGAUCCUCGCGCGGCAGCGGCGGCGGAGGCACCGCUGCCGAGCGCGACCUGCUGUUACAGUGGGGCAACCGGAAGCGCCUGCGCUGUGUCAAGGUGCAGCGCCGCGACGUCGAGGCCGCCGCCACCGCGGCCGCCGAGAAGGCCGCCAUCAGCCAGCGCCGCGCCGCGGCCGCAGCCGCAGCCGCGCAGCACCACCCAACCGGCCACACCCACCACCGCGUUCUCAGGUCUGUGCCUUUCUUAAGUUAUUUUUUUUCUAUCGUUCGUGCCCAUUACGUGUGCCGGCUCUCUGCAUGGCUGCUUUGUUUUGGUGGCUACUCGUUAAACUAAUACCCUUUUUUGGGCUAUUUGGUAAAGCAACAACUGGAUGUCACGUGAUGUCGUCCUGGGCACGUGGCGUCGACAAGAAAAGCAGUUGUCUGAUCUAGUUCGGUUUUGAUUUGAAGAGAAAUUCAAUUUGAAUGAAUGUGGACAACGGACUAUCUGGACCUCAAAUUCUAAGGACUCGUCUGAUUCCAUUAGUCCUAGGACUAAAAUUUAGUCUAGAGACUAACAUUUAGUUACACCCUGUUUGUUGUAGUAACUAAACAGAUUCUAAAUACAUUUAAUGCAACAAAUAAAUACCAAAAUAUUUAUUUUCUUGUUUCCUGGGUAUGAUACCAGUUUUCUAGGCAGGGAUAAAUGUUGUCAUUUAGUCCCUUUUAUCACCCAUGUUAGUCCCUUUUAUCACCCAUGUGAGGAACUAAAUACUAAAGUCAAUUAGUUCCUAAUUUAGUCCUUCCAUUUAGCAAAAUAUGGACUAAACGGGACUAAAUAUUAGUCCAUCUAACCAAACGGGGUCUAAGACGUGGUCCGUCUUUUUUCCUGAAGAGCUGAAAAUACCAAAGUUUCUAGUUUUCUGUUAGAGGAGCUCGCGUGUAGUCGAAACAGUGAUUGCCAUUGGCAUGGGUUGGCAUAUGGUGGUGAUUGGUCCAACUUCCUCUUCCGUACCCAGUACUGCCGAAUUCAGUAUAUGUUGGUUUUUUGCUUGCAUAGCUAAAACUGGGCCUGUUCUUUUUUCCCCAAAAAGUGGCCUUGGAAGGCUAGAAGUAGCUGUUAGUGUUAUUGGUUACGAACUCUGAAAUUAGAAGCUUGCAUGGCUUAUCUCCUCUCCUUUUCAUUCCUGGUAAGAUCGAUGUCUGGAGUUUAAGGACCAACAGGGUCUCUUUAUCUCCAUCUUCCAUCGAUCCAGCUGAAUAUCUGUAUUUGGAUUUAUUCUCUGAAAUUUUCAGAGUUCCAUCUUAUGUGCCAACUUGAUUUCUGGACAUGACUUACCAUUUUUUGUUGGUACAGUUUUCUCAAACUGAUUUGUGAUUUUGCUUCCCUGAAAUUAUUUGCGAAAAAAGAACUACGAGACUGCUGUCUAAUUCCUUAUCAGUGUUCUCUAAAUGUUGAUGGCUGUGUUCUUUGCCUUAUAUGUUGAUAGCUUUGGACUCUACGCACAUCAUAUCAACUACAUUUUUGUGACUAUUUUUGGAUUCCAAAGAAAACAAGAAAGGACUCUUACGGUCCAUUUGGUUGGAGAGCCACGUGAGUGGAGCGGUUUCAUUCCAGAUCUGGAGAGUGGAGCGGCGGUCCGUUUGGUUGGAGAGCCACGUGAGUGGAGCGGUUUCAUUCCAGAUCUGGAGAGUGGAGCGGCUCCAUUCCAGAUUUUGAUAUUGUGACUUACCUGGAUUCAACUACGUGGCCUGAGUAAAAGAAAUCCUCUCGUCCGACUAUGCGCCAAAGCAUGGUGUAAGGCCCAGCCCACAUUCUUAUGGGCAAUGUGGCCACCGUGUAAGCAUGGAUAUAGAAAAUAUUAUUUUGUAUUGUACACAGCACUAUUUACAGAGUGUAAGAAAGGAGGUUCGAGGUUUUUCUUGAUCUAUGUGAAAGGUUUUUAUCAGGCAAUGCCUGUUGGUUGUUUUACCCUGCAGGUCAAGUUUUUUUAUCUUAUCAGUCACCACCGCAUGUAUAAGUGGAUGGAAGUCAGAAGAGUUUGCAAUCAUGAAAUUGCCAGCACGGCAACGACAGAAUGACAGGAUCCACACAGUUGCUUCACCAGACAGGGAGUGCCCUGGUAGAGGUAACAACAACAACGGAGUUCCACAGACCUAUCCGGAUGACAAGAAAGGCUCUUCAUCAGGGAGUGAGGGGUCCAUCUGGCCGAAGUUUGAAAUCACCCUGUCAAACAGGGAAAAGGAAGAGGAUUUCCUGGUGUUCAAAGGAUCCAAGCUGCCUCAAAGACCCAAGAAAAGAGCUAAGGUCAUCCAGAGAACCGUCAAUUUUGUAUGCCCAGGAACGUGGCUAUGUGACUUGACUCUUGAAAGAUAUGAAGUCCGGGAGAAGAAGGUUUCCAAGAAGCGCCCCAGGGGAUUGAAAGCUAUGCACGACAUGGACAGUGACUCGGAAUAAAUAAAAGAAGAUCACUGAACAUGAGAAGCUGAAUAUUAGAAAGAAGGCCAGGACAGAUCCUGCAGAUGGAGGCCGACGAGAAAACGUCCUGAUGGAAUGAAUGGCCGUAUCAACGAUUCGCCACUUCUCGUGAUUGCUACUGGAGAUCAGUUUGUUCCAAAAGGACUUAUGGAGAUCGGAGGACGGCCGAAAUGUCAGGAAGCUGCAUGGAAGAACAGAAGAGAGCCGCAGGAGCUGGAAUUCCUGGACAUUACUAUUCAGUUCCCUCUGUAAAGCAGCAACGCUGUUUUGCAAGCCUCCCAUGCUAAUUUCGCGCUGCCAAAUAUUAGCGUGAUCGCGAAGCUAGCCAGUCCUGGCGCGUCUAGUUUGCCGGGUUGUCUGACAACAAAAGUUAGUAUGAAUAUGAAAGGGCCUUCCUUAAUGUUUUUUCCCACUUGGUGCUGUAUAAAGGUUCAGUGUAUAUUCCAUUCAGGAGAAUGAGAAAAAGUUCAACACUCCAGUGUGGGUGGAUUCAAAACAGGCGACUUUUAAUUUUGAAAGUUUCAGUAGAUUUGUUAGUUUAUAGUUUAUAUUUUGAAAGUUUCAGUAGUGUCCAAUGGAACUCGAUGUGUAAUUCAAAACAGGCAGACUUUUAAUUUUGAAAGUUUCAGUAGUUUUAUUAGUUUA